UGCAGGCCUAACACAUGCAAGUCGAGCGGUAGCACAGAGAGCUUGCUCUCGGGUGACGAGCGGCGGACGGGUGAGUAAUGUCUGGGAAACUGCCUGAUGGAGGGGGAUAACUACUGGAAACGGUAGCUAAUACCGCAUAAUGUCGCAAGACCAAAGUGGGGGACCUUCGGGCCUCAUGCCAUCAGAUGUGCCCAGAUGGGAUUAGCUAGUAGGCGGGGUAACGGCUCACCUAGGCGACGAUCCCUAGCUGGUCUGAGAGGAUGACCAGCCACACUGGAACUGAGACACGGUCCAGACUCCUACGGGAGGCAGCAGUGGGGAAUAUUGCACAAUGGGCGCAAGCCUGAUGCAGCCAUGCCGCGUGUGUGAAGAAGGCCUUCGGGUUGUAAAGCACUUUCAGCGGGGAGGAAGGCGUUAAGGUUAAUAACCUUGGCGAUUGACGUUACCCGCAGAAGAAGCACCGGCUAACUCCGUGCCAGCAGCCGCGGUAAUACGGAGGGUGCAAGCGUUAAUCGGAAUUACUGGGCGUAAAGCGCACGCAGGCGGUCUGUCAAGUCGGAUGUGAAAUCCCCGGGCUCAACCUGGGAACUGCAUUCGAAACUGGCAGGCUAGAGUCUUGUAGAGGGGGGUAGAAUUCCAGGUGUAGCGGUGAAAUGCGUAGAGAUCUGGAGGAAUACCGGUGGCGAAGGCGGCCCCCUGGACAAAGACUGACGCUCAGGUGCGAAAGCGUGGGGAGCAAACAGGAUUAGAUACCCUGGUAGUCCAUGCCGUAAACGAUGUCGAUUUGGAGGUUGUGCCCUUGAGGCGUGGCUUCCGGAGCUAACGCGUUAAAUCGACCGCCUGGGGAGUACGGCCGCAAGGUUAAAACUCAAAUGAAUUGACGGGGGCCCGCACAAGCGGUGGAGCAUGUGGUUUAAUUCGAUGCAACGCGAAGAACCUUACCUGGUCUUGACAUCCACAGAACUUUCCAGAGAUGGAUUGGUGCCUUCGGGAACUGUGAGACAGGUGCUGCAUGGCUGUCGUCAGCUCGUGUUGUGAAAUGUUGGGUUAAGUCCCGCAACGAGCGCAACCCUUAUCCUUUGUUGCCAGCGGUUCGGCCGGGAACUCAAAGGAGACUGCCAGUGAUAAACUGGAGGAAGGUGGGGAUGACGUCAAGUCAUCAUGGCCCUUACGACCAGGGCUACACACGUGCUACAAUGGCAUAUACAAAGAGAAGCGACCUCGCGAGAGCAAGCGGACCUCAUAAAGUAUGUCGUAGUCCGGAUUGGAGUCUGCAACUCGACUCCAUGAAGUCGGAAUCGCUAGUAAUCGUAGAUCAGAAUGCUACGGUGAAUACGUUCCCGGGCCUUGUACACACCGCCCGUCACACCAUGGGAGUGGGUUGCAAAAGAAGUAGGUAGCUUAACCUUCGGGAGGGCGCUUACCACUUUGUGAUUCAUGAC
rnacentral:rRNA from 1 species